rnacentral:tRNA from 1 species
AUUGUCUAGUGGUUAGGAAUACAUGGCUCUCACCCAGGAGGCCCGGGUUCAAUUCCCGGUAUGGGAA